CCCACAUCACCAAGCUACAGCCCCACAUCGCCGAGCUAUAGUCCAACAUCUCCGGUUUAUAGCCCGACCUCACCAGCAUACAGCCCGACAUCUCCUGCAUACAGCCCGACUUCGCCAUCUUACAGCCCUACUUCUCCAUCAUACAGCCCAACUUCUCCCUCAUACAGCCCUACAUCUCCCUCAUACAGCCCGACUUCGCCCUCAUACAGCCCGACGUCGCCCUCAUACAGCCCUACAUCCCCCUCAUACAGCCCUACUUCGCCCUCAUACAGCCCUACAUCGCCUGCAUACAGCCCUACAUCGCCUGGUUACAGCCCGACGUCACCGAGCUACAGCCCUACUUCACCGAACUACAGCCCAACUUCACCGAGCUACAAUCCUUCUUCGGCCAAGUACAGUCCUUCACAUGCUUAUUCUCCGAGCAGCCCAAGGAUGAUGAGCCCGUACAGUCAGACUUCUCCGAACUACAGGUAUUCUGUUGAUAGAUAGACUACUUUCCUUUUGGUGUUGUGCUCCAUGCAUGUCUAUGCUCUAUUUUGAUUACAUCUCCGUUUCUCCUCUCCAGUCCGACCUCACCGACCUACUCGCCCACCUC
rnacentral:lncRNA from 1 species